UACGUAGGGUGCAAGCGUUAAUCGGAAUUACUGGGCGUAAAGCGUGCGCAGGCGGUUGUGUAAGUCUGAUGUGAAAUCCCCGGGCUUAACCUGGGAACUGCGUUUGGAACUGCAAGACUAGAGUGUGUCAGAGGGGGGUAGAAUUCCACGUGUAGCAGUGAAAUGCGUAGAGAUGUGGAGGAAUACCGAUGGCGAAGGCAGCCCCCUGGGAUAACACUGACGCUCAUGCGCGAAAGCGUGGGGAGCAAACAGG
rnacentral:rRNA from 1 species